rnacentral:rRNA from 1 species
GAUGAACGCUGGCGGCGUGCCUAAUACAUGCAAGUCGAGCGAACGGACGAGAAGCUUGCUUCUCUGAUGUUAGCGGCGGACGGGUGAGUAACACGUGGAUAACCUACCUAUAAGACUUGGAUAACUUCGUGAAACCGGAGCUAAUACCGGAUGAUAUUUUGAACCGCAUGGUUCAAAAGUGAAAGACGGUCUUGCUGUCACUUAUAGAUGGAUCCGCGCUGCAUUAGCUAGUUGGUAAGGUAACGGCUUACCAAGGCAACGAUGCAUAGCCGACCUGAGAGGGUGAUCGGCCACACUGGAACUGAGACACGGUCCAGACUCCUACGGGAGGCAGCAGUAGGGAAUCUUCCGCCAUGGGCGAAAGCCUGACGGAGCAACGCCGCGUGAGUGAUGAAGGUCUUCGGAUCGUAAAACUCUGUUAUUAGGGAAGAACAUAUGUGUAAGUAACUGUGCACAUCUUGACGGUACCUAAUCAGAAAGCCACGGCUAACUACGUG